GGGCUGAGUGGGGCAGAAGAGACCCCACACCACACCUUAUUUUCCCUUACAGUGUCAGAGAGGCUUUAUUCCUCCCCCCAUGUGGGGAUGUGAGGGAAGGGAAGGGAAGAUGUGGAGAAAGCUCCAACACUGGGGUGAGCCUCCCCUACACCUGCAGGGAAGGCCCUGAAACUCACACUGAUCCUAGGGCCUAGGUCUCGUCCCUGUGGGGACAGCCUAUAUCCCCUCAUGGUGUGUGCCUGUUCAGGGUGUCAGUGAUGUUUCCUGUCCUGGUGUAUUGGGGCCGUAAGCAGCAAUCCCAGAUGAGAGAGCGGGGCCUGGAGGAGGAGGGUCAUCACAUGCAAGGGGCUGGGGCAGGGCUGCCUGGUGCAGCACACAGUGCUCCCAACAACCGAAACAUUCGGCAUGGCUGGCCCCAGCACCGCACUGCUUGAACUCCGGCCUGCCCGUUAAUAUUGGAGUGCUCUUUGUGCCGCAGCAGGAGGCUUGGGUGGUGGAGAGGAUGGGCAAGUUCCACCGAAUCCUUGAGCCUCUUUAUAUACUGAGCAUGACAUCAUAUGGUAUGGAAUAUCCCUUUGGUCAGUUGGGGUCAGCUGUCCCGGCUGUGUCCCCUCCCAGUUUCUUGUGCACCCGGCAGAGCAUGUGGAGCUGAAAAAAAUUCCUUGACCAGUGUAAGUGCUACUUAGCAACAACUAAAACAUCAGUGUGUUAUCAACAUUACUUCCAGCACAAAUCCAAAACAUAGCCCCAUACUAGCUACUACGAAGAAAAUGAACUCUAUCCCGGCUGAAACCAGGACAAGCAUCUACAGCGUGUAGUAUAUUUGAACUUUGCACAGCCCUCUCUAGCCUGGCUGAGCUCUCUGGGGGGGAGGUGUGAAACCCCAGAUUAGAGGGCUCAGCUCUCUAGUCCCAACCUUUUCCCAGGUUUUGAACUUCCUCAUCCUUCUGCUGGAUCGGAUUCAUUAUGUCCAGA